UACAUUGGGGAUGCCAAUGCUUGGAGG
rnacentral:piRNA from 1 species